rnacentral:rRNA from 1 species
CCUACGGGAGGCAGCAGUGAGGAAUAUUGGUCAAUGGGCGCGAGCCUGAACCAGCCAAGUCGCGUGAGGGAAGACUGCCCUAUGGGUUGUAAACCUCUUUUGCCGGGGAGCAACGCGCGCUACGUGUAGCCGCACUGAGAGUACCCGGAGAAAAAGCAUCGGCUAACUCCGUGCCAGCAGCCGCGGUAAUACGGAGGAUGCGAGCGUUAUCCGGAUUUAUUGGGUUUAAAGGGUGCGUAGGCGGAAUGCCAAGUCAGCGGUAAAAUCGCGGGGCUCAACCUCUCUCCGCCGUUGAAACUGGCGCUCUUGAGUGGGAGAGAAGUAUGCGGAAUGCGUGGUGUAGCGGUGAAAUGCAUAGAUAUCACGCAGAACCCCGAUUGCGAAGGCAGCAUACCGGCGUCCAACUGACGCUGAAGCACGAAAGCGUGGGGAUCGAACAGGAUUAGAUACCCGAGUAGUC